rnacentral:rRNA from 1 species
GAUGAACGCUAGCUACAGGCUUAACACAUGCAAGUCGAGGGGCAGCAUGGUCUUAGCUUGCUAAGGCUGAUGGCGACCGGCGCACGGGUGAGUAACACGUAUCCAACCUGCCGUCUACUCUUGGCCAGCCUUCUGAAAGGAAGAUUAAUCCAGGAUGGGAUCAUGAGUUCACAUGUCCGCAUGAUUAAAGGUAUUUUCCGGUAGACGAUGGGGAUGCGUUCCAUUAGAUAGUAGGCGGGGUAACGGCCCACCUAGUCAACGAUGGAUAGGGGUUCUGAGCGGAACGUCCCCCACAUUGGGACUGAGACACGGGCCAAACUCAUACGGGAGGCAGCAGUGAGGAAUAUUGGUCAAUGGGCGAUGGCCUGAACCAGCCAAGUAGCGUGAAGGAUGACUGCCCUAUGGGUUGUAAACUUCUUUUAUAAAGGAAUAAAGUCGGGUAUGCAUACCCGUUUGCAUGUACUUUAUGAAUAAGGAUCGGCUAACUCCGUGCCAGCAGCCGCCGUAA